GCAACUUUGUCAAACAUUAUUUAUUAUUGUAAACAAUAAGUGGCCACCACAACCAUCCAAUGUACAGAAUAAAAAAAUUGACCAUGUCUAUCCAUACGCAGAGUUGGUGUAGCUGCCAUUUGACUUUGUAAAGCUAUGCUGUACAUCAGAAACUUCUAUAUCCAGAGCCGCGUUUUCCUUUCUAUGUAUAUUCCCUAUUGCCUAAUGCCACACCAUUUUGGAUUGAUUGCCGCAGGCCUUCUCAUCACCUCAAAAUAAGCUAAGGCUCUCAUUCUCUUUGGCUGUCUUUGUUUGCCAUCACCGAAUCUAGGAUUAGUAUAUAAAAAACCCUCUUCUUUUUCUUUUUAACCAUCUUCUUCCCUUUUCUUGGUUGCUGUGGGAUAAAACACCAAGAUUUCUACAACAUAAAUAUGUGUCCUCUGAGGUUUAUCUUGGUGUUUUUCUCAGCAGUUUUGGCUGGAUACUUUGCAUGGAGGUCUGUGCGGUCGUCGCCGGAGAUUGAAAGCAUGAAUUCCGAUGAUUCAACAGUUAAAAGGAAACCAUUGAAUCACAAACAAGAAUUCACUGUGAAGAAGAUGGUUCAAAAUGGAUUCUGGGUAUUUGUCGACAUGGCCAGUGGAAAGUACCUGUGGAGGAAUCUGAAGGAGAUGAGGAAAGAUGAGAAAGUUAAGAGCUGCUAGAAUUUUUUUUUUUUUUAAUCAAACCUUUUUUUCCCUUUCGCCAUUCUACCCCCCUGUGGGGAAGGAGGAGAAAUUGGAAUUUGAGGGCAGGGCAGGUACGGUACAGAUAUCACAUGCUGCAAAUGUAAUUCAGUUGAGAAUCCUUCUGAGAAUCUGAGCUAAUAUUGAAUUUGUUCAUCAGUUCAGAAUAAAGAAAAAAAAACUUUGUUCAUCAAGUUGAUUAAUGCUGCAACCUGCAAAUUUAGUUAUCUCAGUUGAGAAUAACUUUGUUCACACGUUGAUAAUUGCCCCAAAAAAAUUGACAAACUAAAUCAGCUUAUAAAAACUUGAGCACCCUAUUCAAUUCAAUCAAUUUAUAUUCUGUUCUCAGAGGAGUUUAAUUAAUUUUAAUUUAUCCUUAAAUAGAUUAUAAUCACAGUGUAAUCUAAUUACAAAUUCACAAUGUAAAGAUCUGCUGCGAUUAUGGCCAUUACCUGCAAAACCUUUCCUUCUUAUAAUUUAAUUUUGCAGGUUAAACAUAGCAUUGCCAGAGUUAAAAGGACAAAUUCUUUGUUCUACAUUCUUGACAUUUUUUUUCCUUCUUUGUAACAAACAGAUUGAAUUGCUCUUAUUCUAUUCACUUACACAAUAUGUACAACAGAUUGCAGAGAAAAACAAAUAGGAUGCCAAAUUAACACACGACCUCACCAGUGCACAAGAUAUCUGUUGCUGGAUCAUGUUUGUUCAUCUGAUUUAACAGCUGAUAACCCUAUGCGCAUGUGAGGUUGUAAGCACAUAAUUAUUUCUAAAAUAAAUAUUCAAUAUAAAUGCUAAUGAACAACCACGAACAGCAGCAGCAACAGCUUCAGUUUAGGUCAGCUUGCAGCUUGAUAGACAUGUACAAUAGUGUAAGAAGAGCACCUUGUGGGAGAGGGGCAUACCUUGCAAGAUUGGAACCAACCCACAUAGCUACCACUAUCAGAGCAACCACGCUGCUGCUGGUCUUUCCGCAAGCCCAACUUGCAAACUGAAGACAUAGGGUAAGCAAAAUCCCACCUCUCCCACCCAGAAUCCAUGCAAUUAAAUAACCAAUCUUAUAUCCAGCAUCCAAUCUUCGGUCAAACAAAGCCAAUAGACUGCUGAAGGCAAGAGAUAAUCGAGAACCAAAUAUUUGAAGUAAAAACAGAGAUAUGAAGACAGAUCUAAGCAAAUCACUAAAGGGGCCUCUUUCUUGAUCCAAGUUUCCUUCUUCAGCCACCUCUUCUGUAUCACUGUCAGCAGAAGAGUUCUCCUCACUUGCAUUAUAAUGUUCCCAAUAUCUUUCGCGCUGCAUUUUCCUCCUCAAUUCAGCCCAUUUGUAGAUUCUCAGCCCAUCUUCAAAUUCAUGAUUGUAAUAUUGCUUCCUGCCGUAUGAACUGCCAGCAUCUUCUUGAAAUUUAAGCACUCGAUCAUAUUGAGUCCUUGUUACCUCAUUUGAGAGUAUUUCAUAAGCAUGAUGGAUGCUCUUGAACAGCUCACUAGCUUUUGAAUGCUUGCUGACAUCAGGAUGAUACCCAUAAAACACAGAGUGCAGACAUUAAAUUGGACGAUCUCUCAUAGAAAUUAUGAACAGGAGACAAGUUCAUGCCAUUCUUCAUUUGAACAACACUGCUCAGUGAUUUUCUUUUAUGCUUAUCUUGCGAUGGCCAAUUGAAAUGGUUUUCUAACUCCCCAACUUUGAUAUGUUCUCUCGUCUUCACUCUCACAGUUCAGACAAUAUUUAUGCCUAUGUUUGAGUGUAUAUGUGUGAAAUCUCCACAUUGAUAUGAGCUGCAGAAAGACAAUCCAUGCGUCCAAAACAAAGAAACUUGUAUAAUUUUAGGCUUCAGCAACUAAUCCAACAAAAUUCUAUAGCUUUCAAUAAAACAAAUCCCAUGGGGAUUUUUCAAAUUUCCAUGUACAAACAACAUCAAACCGCGUCUCAUCAUAUAUCAAUGCAUAGAUUGAUCCGUUCAAAGAUAUUUUAGUGCCUCUAGAAAGAACUUGUGUAGCUAAAAAUACCAAAAUGAAAGAUUUCAAUUUGAGGCACUCCCUUAUAAAAGCAUCAAGCAGAUCCCCCAGAACUAAUAUAUUGAUUCAUUAAACAAAUGCAUUAAGGAAACCAAACUCUUAAGACGCAUUCACACAAACAGGCAGCUUUCAUUAUAUCUAAACUUUUUCAUUUCACUCUAAUACAUGUUUCCACAGAGCCUCGACCCUAUCUAACUAGCUUAAUUCCUUGGUUUGAUCAAUAGCAUGCUAAUUGUAAUUUUCUUUUUUUUUUUU
rnacentral:misc_RNA from 1 species